GACUGUGUGGCCUAAUGGAUAAGGCGUCGGGCUUCGGAUUCCAAGGUUGCAGGUUCGAGUCCUGUCACGGUCG
rnacentral:tRNA from 1 species